GACGAACGCUGGCGGCGUGCUUAAUACAUGCAAGUCGAACGAUCCCGGGGCUUCGGCCCCAAUGGGAGAGUGGCGAACGGGUGAGUAACACGUGAGAAACCUGCCCCGGAGAUUGGGAUAACCCAGAGAAAUUUGGGCUAAUACCGAAUACCCUGCGAGUGCUGCAUGGCACCCGUAGGAAAGGUUCCGGCGCUCUGGGAGGGUCUCGCGGCCUAUCAGCUUGUUGGUGAGGUAACGGCUCACCAAGGCAUCGACGGGUAGCUGGUCUGAGAGGACGAUCAGCCACACUGGGACUGAGACACGGCCCAGACUCCUACGGGAGGCAGCAGUAGGGAAUCUUGCGCAAUGGGCGAAAGCCUGACGCAGCAACGCCGCGUGGGGGAAGAAGGCUCUCGGGUCGUAAACCCCUUUCAGCAGGGACGAAAAUGACGGUACCUGCAGAAGAAGGGCCGGCCAACUACGUG
rnacentral:rRNA from 1 species